rnacentral:lncRNA from 1 species
GUGAUCAACAAGCAUGUUUAUUGUUCUUCUAACUCCUUCAGGACUGUCUCCCCUCCCUCCCACAGCCUAGACAGAGAGCCAGUACAUCCUGCCCACUGCCUGACUUGGGCCUCCUGCUGCCCAUCGGUCUAACACUGGGCGCACAGGUGGGAUGGCUUGACACGGUUGCUUGUUAUAGGAGGGGGAGUUCUAGCCCUCACCACAAAAGAGGUGCCUGAGCCAGGUGGGUAUGCCUAAGUCCCUUCCCCAUUCUCAGUUUCCUUAGUGGCAUAUCAGGAUCCCAUGUUCAGGACGGCUCUCCGGAAUUGGGGGUGGGGGUGGGAAUUCAGGGCAAAAUGUGCAGGGCUGGGGUGGUAAUGCUGGAUCAGAUUCAGACCUGUCUCCUCACCUGCAGCACUUGUGGUAAAGAAUAGAGGGAAGGAGGAACUGGCCUGGAUUUGGAAACCCUAGAAGAGGGUAUUAAUAGAGGGUCUCACAGGUUAGGAAUAAGGAUAAAUCCAGAAACACAUUUUGGACACCCAGCUAUCAAGAAUUAGUGGGUACAGGAUCUCAAGUUUGGGAAACAAGAUACAUAAACUCAGAAGCCUCACAGGAGUUCCCGCUGUGGUUCAAUGGGAUCAGCGGCGCCUUGGGCGCAGUGAGACACAGGUUCGAUCCCCCGCCCGGCACAGUGGGUUAAGAAUCCCGCAUUGACGCAGCUGCAGGUGGUACCUGCAGCUCGGAUCUGAUCCCUGGCCCCCGGAAAACUCUGUAUGCCUCAGGGCAGAAAAAAAGAACAAAUCAAAACCUCAUACAGACCCGUGAUGGCUGCGACUCGGCGAAUUGAGGCACAAAUUCGGAAAAAUAAGGGGAACCUGGCCUUGAGGCGGCGGAUCAAAGCCCUUAACCGGAGUAAAAAUAGGGACCUAGGUUUGGGGGAGACCCAGAGGCAGGAACUGGGGGCGAACCAGGCUUCCGGAUUUUAACUAGAGACGGGAAAUUCGGAAAUGGCAGCUCACGGAGCAGGAAAGCCUGGCCCUCAGGAUUUGGGGGAGUCUAAAGACACAGACCGAGCGGUCGUGCACGCAGACUGGGCCUGCAACGGGAACCCCAGGCCGGAAGUGCCGGCCUCCCCUGGUAACGACCAAUCACCAACGUCCAAGUGACUGCCUGGGAAUGACGCAAGGCGUCUCCAAGGCGAUGGCGAAUCGCAGGGAGGCUCCAGCUCUACCGGAAGUUGGAGUUCCCACCCGCCUCCCGCAGCGAGGAAAGGGGAGGUUGUGGUCGCCGUGGUAACCACGACGCCCAGACAAGUCCGGGUUAGACCGCACUUUCCUCUCCCGCCGGGUUCAGUGACGCUGAAGGAGCCCUCAGAGUCCCGGGGGGGGCGCCUCAUUUCCUCACGCCUCUCCGUCCCGGCCUCCUCAGGUCGCCUAUGGAGAAAAGGGCCCUGGAACAGCACCGCCGCGGCAGUCCUCCGGAGCAGCUGCCUCCAGCACCCGAGGGAGGAGCGCCCGGACCCCCUGCGCUUCCGGCCCGGGCCGCCUAGUUGGUUCCCGGGCUGCGCCGGGGCAGGUUUUGACUCUGGCGGACUCCUCCCGUCUGGGAUGGGGCGGGGUCACCGUGCUCCCUUGGCUCACGGGGCUGAGGUCAGAGGUCGUGACAAGUGAGCCCCGGACCGAGUCGUGUCUGAGAGUCUGGCAGCACGGGUUCAGCUGGGAGGUGCUUUUCCAGUCUAGGCCUCAGUUUUCCCAUCGGUAAAGUGGGAACAAAAAGGGCAACCACCUCAAGGAGGGAAGUGAGCUACAAUUUCUUUCCAGGUGGCCCCCAGCUGCAUUUAAAACCCUGCAAUAGGAGUUCCCUUCGUGGCGCAGGGAAGUGAAUCGGACUAGUAUCCAUGAGGAUGCAGGUUGGAUCUCUGGUCUUGCUCAGUGGGUCGGGGAGCCAGCGUUGCCUUGAGCUAUGGUGGAGGUAUGGUGGGAUCCCACAGAUGUGGCUGGGAUACCAUGUUGCUGUGGUUUGGUGUAGGCUGACAGCUGUAGCUCCUAUUCCACCUCUAGCCUGCGAACUUCCUUAUGCCGUGGGUGCAGCCCUAAAAAGCAAAAAAUAAUAAUAAACAAAACAAAACCCUGCAAUGACUAAGAAGGAUAAAGUUUGGAGAUUCCUGGAGACCUGAAGUAUUUGGUCCAUGCCUGGUUUCCUCCCUCUGAGCCCCCGUUUCCCCAUCUGUAAAACGGGUGUUGGGCCACUAUGCAUUUCUAGACUUGACGUGGGGACUAAAUGACUCAGUCUGUGUAACUCUCUUAGGGCAGGGCCAGAUGGUGCCUAGUGGGCCCUCGAAAUUGUGGUUGCUUUUCGCUAUUUAGAAAACGGACUGGAGUUCCCACUAUGAUGAAGUAGGUUAAGAAUCUGACUGCAGGAGUUCCCAUUGUGGCUCAGCAGGUUAAGAACCCCAUGAGGAUGCAAGUUCGAUCCCUGGCCCCAAUCAGUGAGUAAAGGAUCCAGCGUUGUGGGGAGCUGCAGUGUAGCUCACAGAUGUGGCUCAGAUCCUGCGUUGCUGUGGCUGUGGUGUAGGCCAGUAGCUGCAGCUAUGAUUCAACCCUUGGCCUGGGAACUUCCAUAUGCCGAAGGUACGGCCCUAAAAAGAAAAAGAAAAAAAAAAUUGAAAAUCGGACUGCAUUGGCUCAGGUAGCUGCAGAGGUGCAGGUUGGAUAGCUGGCCCAGAGCAGUGGGUUAAAAGGAUCCAGCGUUUCCACAGCUGCAGUGUAGGUCACAGCUGUGGCCGGGAUUCAGUCCACGGCGCAGGAACUUCCAUAAGCCAUGGGUGUGGCCAUAAGAAAUAAAGUAAAAUAAAAAAUAAAAUAGAUUAUCCAGUCAGCAGACAUUUUUGGAACUCGGCUGUGUGCCAGGCUCCAGAUGCUUCUCCACGCAUCUCCAGCUUUUGGAGCUACCUCCCCUGAGGCUCUGGUUAGUAUGGAGCUUUGUGGAAAUCCUGAUCUCCACACACGGCAUUACAAAAUGGGACAGGCUCCCCCCACGGUCUGAAGACAGGACAGUCCGAGUGUUUCUACAAAAGCUUUCCUAAGCUGAAAUGGCAUAUGCGGCGAAAAAGCGAUUACCUCAGGACACAGCUUGCUAACAGAUGAACAGAACCUCCGCAUGUUGCGGGUGUGGCCCUAAAAAUCAGACAAAAAAAGAAGAGCAAAGUGGCAAAAAGCAAACUUUGAAAAUACUGGGGUGGUUUGUAACUCAACAAAUGACUCAGCGCAGGGGUCUGGACAACGGGGCCCCAGAAACGCUUUCUUCUGCGCUCUUUUGCAUCCUUGGUUUCCACUGGCAACGUGAGUGUGGAGCGUUAGAUCCCUUGGGGGUCUGCAAGGAGGCUGAGCAGGAGGGCGCCCCCCCCCAGGCGAUGAGGACGAGGACGAGAGGCAGGUGGAGAGCCGACCCUGCCAGGUGACUGGCUCCCUGACUCAGGUCGGGUGGGGCCAGGGGCAAGGGCAUCUCCUUGGUCUCCGAGGAAGCAGAGGCAUGGGGCUGUGACGUGGGUUGGAACCGUGAGUCUCCUUGGGUCGAGAGCCAGGCAUUGCCAAGGGGCUUCAGACGCUCCUCAGUUCGGCCGAAAUGUAGAUUCAGGCCAGGCCUCAAAAAGGAAAACAUCCAUGUACCAAAUUUAACUUGGCAAACUUCCUAUGGCCUGUCCCAUGUGCAUCUUAUUUAAAAUCUCCCCCCUGGAAAUCACUGUUUAAUACGUCCAGAGCUCUAGCUGUUUCAGGCAGCGUGUGGUGUCUCAAGAGGCCAGAGCAGCAGUAUGGGUUGAUUUCUUAUUACUGGGUUACCCAGAACCAGAUGGGAGGGCCUGCCUCCUGCUGCCACUCUGCAGCCUGGACCUGUGGACCCUGGUUGUACAGAGUGAAUCGUAUCUUAGGAAACCAGUGUCACCUUUUAAUUUUAUAUCAUUUGUCAUACAUUUCCUGUAAUGGAAGUGUUCAUUUUACUGUACUUUUUGGGAAUCUAAUGUACUGUAAAAAAAAACAAAACAAAGGAAAACAUCCAUCCUCCUCACGUGGCAACCAGAGGGGGCUGUGAAAACCCAACUCAGAUGUCCUCUCUGUCCUGCUCCGAAGCCUCCCUGUGUCACUCUCAGGACAAAACAAUCUGCACAGGGGCCUGCUAGGUGGCCCCAUCACCUUGCACCUUCCCUCUCCCCUCAGCGCCACACCAGCCAUACCACACGACGCUCCCAAGAGCCUGUGCACCUGCCGUGCCCUUACUGAACGCGCCCUUCCUCGGGGAGCCUCGUGGCUCACCCUCCCCUGCUCCCCGGGUCAAGCCUGGAAUCCCACGUGCUCCAGAGGCCUUCUCUGGCCACUCUCUUCACCGUAACUUUGGGGGGAAACAUUAGUCAUGUUACACAUGUUACCCAGUGUGUUUAGUAUCUUCACAAGGUCAGGCACCCAUCACUAUGGGCUUAAUUCCACAACAUUUUCAUCAUCCCAAAAAGAAACCCAGGCGUUUCCGCCGUGGCGCAGUGGGUUAAUGACUUCUGUGGCUUGACCCCCGGCCAGGUGCAGUGGGUGAAGGAUCCGGCCUUGCCACACCUGUCUCGUAGGUCACAGAUCCAGUUCAGAUUUGAUCCCUGACCCGGGAACUUCCAUGUGCCACGGGUGUGGCCAAAAAUGGGAGAAAAAAAAAGAAACCCCAUACCCAUCGGCAGUUACUCCCAUCACCCCUCCUCCAGCCAGCCCCUGACAACCAUGAGCCUCCUUCUCCACAUGGAUCUGCCUGUGAGACGCUCAUCGAAACGGAAUCAUGGAGCAUGUACUUUCCUGUUCGACUUUUUCCACUUAGCUCUAAGGCCGGUCCCACUUGGGCCAAACACCACCUUCCUCCUGCCCCUGCCUCCUGCUCUCCACGGACUGCUUCCCGCCAAGUUCCUUUGCCUCAGCACCCUGACUGUUUUGUCCCGGGGUGGGGGAUGCAGCCAGCCUGUGCACCGCAGGACCCCCGACCUCCUCCCACUUGAUGUUUCAGCACCCUCACCCCCCACCCCUACUGUGACGACCAAAAUCCAUCUCCAGACCCUGCCGAGUGUCCCCAGGGGCCAAAACACACCCUGGGUGAGAAUGGCUGAUUUCCAUCAACUGACUCUGCUCACAUCCACUUAUGGAAGGACAAUCCAUAGCCUCAACCAAAAAAGGCGGGGUCCUCUAGGCGCAAACGCCUGAGUGGACUCUGAGUCCUCUGCCUCCGGCGUGAGGACGCUCUUGAGGGCGGAGGCUCUGGGGAGCGGGCAAGAGGGAGAGGGGCCAGCGUGGACCCGGCAACGGCCUCGCUGUGCCCCCCGAGCCUGGCUAACACCUGCCGAUCACCGCGCAGCUCUGGAGGUCAGGAGCCAGAGUGAGUCUGGGGGUAAAACCAAGGUGGAGGCAGGGCUGCCCUCCUCCUCUCAAGCCCGCCCCUUGCUGGGGGUGAGGGACGGAAAUCCUACAAAAUUGGAUCGUGAUGAUCACUGCACAACCACAAAUGUAAUAAAUUCAUUGAGUAAUUAAAAAAAAAAAAGUCUGUCCUUUGCCUUUUCCAGCUUCCAGAGGCCGCUAGAAUUCCCGAUUCCUUUGGCCACAUCCUUUGGACCUGUUUCUGUCGCCACCUCUGUCUCCUCCUCUGACCCUGCCUCCCUCUUAGAAGGACCACUGUGAUGACAUUUUGGGCCCAGGGUUAGCCAGGAUAAUCCUUAACCACAUCUGCAAAGUCCCUUUUGCCACAUAAGGUGGCACAUUCGCAGCCUCUGGCAAUUAGGCUGUGGACCUCUCUGGGAUCCGUUAUUCUUUUUUUUUGCCUUUUCCUAGGGCCACUGCCGUGGCAUAUGGAGGUUCUCAAGCUAGGGGUCGAAUUGGAGCUGUAGCCACCAGCCUACGCCAGAGCCACAGCAAGGUGGGAUCCAAGCGGCAUCUGCGACCUACACCACAGCUCACAGCAACGCUGGAUCCCCAACCCACUGAGCAAGGGUAGGGAUCGAACCCGAAACUUCAUGGUUCCUAGUCAGAUUCAUUAACCGUUGUGCCACAACGGGAACUCCUGGGAUCCGUUACUCUGUACACUGUAUCUAAGGCCUGGUCAGCAGCAGUGACCACCACGGGGCCAGGACAGCCACCAAAAGGCCAUCGUUGGUGUGGCUUGUCAGAUGGACAGUCUGGACAUACAUGCACGACAGCUGGUGAAGGGGAUGGGCCAGAGGGAGGCAGAGGUCAGCAGGAGGUGAGAGGGGACAGUGGAGGAGGAGGAGGAGGAAUGAAGUCCAGAGAAGCAGAGUUAUCCCCGCCCCUCCCCUCACCCACUCGGCUGGCUGCCUUUAGCCCCCGCUGAAAUUCCUUUCUUUACGUCUCUUCCCUUUGUACAGCCUGCAAGACUCAAGGAAAUUUGCCCAAGCCAUCCAGGAUGCCCGAGCUGCUGGGGUUUGCUUCCAUGGUUCCUGGAAACGUUUCCCUCCUUGGGAACUCCAGCCUCUUCCAGACCCUGCAACCAGGACUCCUAACUGGAGACUGGCCCCAGGAUGGAGGCUCCAGCCCAGGACCCUGAGCAGGCCGACUCCUGGAGAGCUGCCUUGGGACCUCAGGAGAGGCCUGAGGAGAAGCCUAGGCCCUGUACGGAGGACAGAGCUGAGAGACCACCCCCUUGGAGGGGCGGCAGGACAAGUUCCCCUGGGUUGUGUCAUGAGCCCCAGCUCAGGGACCUGACAUUUCAAGGGCAGGCAGGAAUCCUGACACAGACCCCUAGGAAGCCGAGAGGGGCCAGGAGGAGAGGUC